ensembl:snRNA U6 U6 spliceosomal RNA
GUGCUCACUUUGGCAGCACAUACACUAAAAUUGGAAUGAAACAGAGAUUAGCUUGGCCCCCGUGCAAGGAUGACACACAAAUUCGUGAAGUACUCCAUGUGUUU